UUGCACUCCCCACACAGUCACAUGCACAGGUACCUAGAUAUGCAAUUGUACAUGCAGUCACAUACACACAUGGACAUAUACACAAUCACAUAAACACACACAGUCAUAAUUGCAUAGACAUAUGCACAGUCACAUUCAUAGACAACAAACAUACAUAAUACCAAGUACGCACACACAAUCACAUGCACACCUAGACACACAGCAACAAACAUGCAUCCAAUCGCACAUAUAAUCACAUAGACAGAGUCAUUCACAUACAUGCUGUGCCAGUCACAUAAACACAGUCAAACUCUCAGUCACACACGCACAGUCUGUCACGUAUACGGUCACAUACACAGUAUGUGAUAUACACUGUCACAUACAAACACAGUCACACGCUGUAACAGUCACAAACAC